rnacentral:rRNA from 1 species
GACGAACGCUGGCGGCGUGCUUAACACAUGCAAGUCGAACGGAAGGGCCCUGCUCUUGUGGGGUGCUCGAGUGGCGAACGGGUGAGUAACACGUGAGUAACCUGCCCUUGACUUUGGGAUAACUUCAGGAAACUUGGGCUAAUACCGGAUAGGAGCUCCUGCUGCAUGGUGGGGGUUGGAAAGUUUCGGCGGUUGGGGAUGGACUCGCGGCUUAUCAGCUUGUUGGUGGGGUAGUGGCUUACCAAGGCUUUGACGGGUAGCCGGCCUGAGAGGGUGACCGGCCACAUUGGGACUGAGAGACGGAGCAGACUCCUACGGGAGGCAGCAGUGGGGAAUAUUGCACAAUAGGCGGAAGCCUGAUGAAGCAACGCCGCGUGCGGGAUGAUGGCCUUCGGGUUGAAAACCGCUUUAGCCUGUGACGAAGUGUGAGUGACGGUAAUGGGUAAAGAAGCACCGGCUAACUACGUG